UACGAAGGGGGCUAGCGUUGUUCGGAAUCACUGGGCGUAAAGGGCGCGUAGGCGGCCUUCUAAGUCGAACGUGAAAUCCCCGGGCUCAACCCGGGAACUGCGUCCGAUACUGGAAGGCUUGAAUCCGGGAGAGGGAUGUGGAAUUCCAGGUGUAGCGGUGAAAUGCGUAGAUAUCUGGAGGAACACCGGUGGCGAAGGCGACAUCCUGGACCGGUAUUGACGCUGAGGCGCGAAAGCCAGGGGAGCAAACGGG
rnacentral:rRNA from 1 species